UUUUGUGUAGUUACAAAGAUAGUAAGUACAACACUAAAUAUCCUAAAAGGUUAAAAACUCCAUAAUUAUAAAUUCAGUUAUACAGCUUCAAUGGUAGCAAUAGUUUAAAGAUAGAUUUCUGUUGAAGAAAUUCAACUCUUGUGAUGUUUUGCCAUUUUUAAGGCUAGCAAAGGAUUAUUGGAGUUGUAGUUCUACAACAACUGGAGAUCUACAUUGUGGCCAUCUAUAAG